CUGCAUCAAGACUGGCCGCUGCCCAGGCUCGUUUCCCAUGGGUCUCCUAAGGCCAACAGGUGACUUCCAGAGACAGAUGGCAAGCUGCGCGGAGGAUGCUGAUGGACUUGGCUUUCCAGGCCAUCUGUUUGGUGACAGUCUUGAGAUGAUGGCAGGAGAUGAUCUUGCAUCAUCUUUAAUAGAACUGUGUCACGUAGCGCUCCUAGCAGUGAGGGACUGGCGGGCAUUCUGAAAAACCCUUCAGCACAAACAGUAGGAACGCUGGAGAUGACACCACACAUUUCUUCACGUGCACAGUUGAGCUCACAGGGGCCAGAAAUGAGGGAGCCAGGACCCCUCAGCUUGUACAGCCCAGGGGUGGUACAGUCACACUAUGGGUCCACGCAGACAGGGCAUUGAAACGGGUCCUCGUGGGUUAUGGAAAAGGUAUCUGUCUGCAUUCAGAUGGGGUCCCAGGAGAAUGCAAUAAAAGUCCUGGGAUUUGUGACCACAAACCUGCCCUCUGUGUCACAGCGAUGGAGAGUUUGUAUCUGCACUGGCUGCAUGACCUGUGCUGGGGGUGAGGUGCUCUGCAUGUCUGCAGGAGUAAACUGGCUUCCAGUCUGGGCUUGUGCCCAACUUACCCAUCAGGCUUAGUGUUUCAUGGGUGCUGGCUGAGGUCGUGAGAUUCCUGGGUCAGAGACAGGACUUGUUCUUCAUGGCACAGCAAAGCAGCAUGAGCUUUGUGUUGGCCUGGUCCCCAGUCCCACAGGAGUGACACGAGGGGCCCAGGCAAAUGCCAUGCAAGCAGGGGGGCUGUGUCACAGACGGCACACUGAGCUUUUUAUAGCAAGUGGUAAACAAGCCUGCAGUUGGACCACAGCAGAUACAACCCUAAAAGUGGGCCAAGUGGAGAGCACUUAAGAACCACAUUUUGA